GAUGAAGAACGUAGCGAAAUGCGAUAAGUAAUGUGAAUUGCAGAAUUCAGUGAAUCAUCGAAUCUUUGAACGCACCUUGCGCCCUUUGGCCAUUCCGAAGGGCAUGCCUGUUUGAGUAUCAUGAACACCUCAACUCUCAUGGCUCGCCAUGAUGAGCUUGGAUUUGGGGGUCUUGCUGGCCUGUGGUCGGCUCCUCUCAAAUGGAUCAGCUUGCCAGUGUUUGGUAGCAUCACAGGUGUGAUAACUAUCUGCGCUUGUGGUUUUCCAUCAGAUAACCUUCAGUGAUGGAGGUUCGCUGGAGCUCAUAAACGUCUCCCCUAAGCGGGGACAGCCCUUUGAAUGUUUGAUCUCAAAUCAGGUAGGACUACCCGCUGAACUUAAGCAUAUCAAUAAGCGGAGGA
rnacentral:misc_RNA from 1 species